rnacentral:rRNA from 1 species
GACGAACGCUGGCGGCGUGCCUAAUACAUGCAAGUCGAACGAGAGCGACCGGUGCUUGCACUGGUCAAUCUAGUGGCGAACGGGUGAGUAACACGUGGGUAACCUGCCCAUCAGAGGGGGAUAACAUUCGGAAACGGAUGCUAAAACCGCAUAGGUCUUCGAACCGCAUGGUUUGAAGAGGAAAAGAGGCGCAAGCUUCUGCUGAUGGAUGUACCCGCGGUGCAUUAGCUAGUUGGUGAGGUAACGGCUCACCAAGGCCGUGAUGCAUAGCCGACCUGAGAGGGUGAUCGGCCACAUUGGGACUGAGACACGGCCCAAACUCCUACGGGAGGCAGCAGUAGGGAAUCUUCCGCAAUGGACGCAAGUCUGACGGAGCAACGCCGCGUGAGUGAAGAAGGUUUUCGGAUCGUAAAACUCUGUUGUUAGAGAAGAACAAGUGCUAGAGUAACUGUUAGCGCCUUGACGGUAGCUAACCAGAAAGCCACGGCUAACUACGUG